GACGAACGCUGGCGGCAUGCCUAACACAUGCAAGUCGAACGAAAACUUCGGGACUCGUGGCGCACGAGUUCGUAGCGCGGGGGGACCGGCCCAUAGGUUCGGAAUAACUCCCCGAGAGGGGGAUUAAUACGGGAAAAUGUCUUCGGACCAGAGAUAUAUCGCUUUUGGAUGGGCCAGCGUCGGAUUAGCUAGUUGGUAGGGUAAAAGCAGACCAAGGCGACGAUCAAUAGCUGGUCUGAGAGGAUCAGCAGCCACACCGGGACUGAGACACGGCACAGACUCCUACGGGAGGCAGCAGUGGGUAAUAGUGGAAAACGGGCGAAAGGAUGAACGAGCAAUGCCGCGUGAGUGAUGAAGGCCUUAGGGUAGUAAAGCUCGUUUAACCGGGAUGAUAAUGACAGUACCGGGAGAAUAAGCCCCGGCUAACUCCGUG
rnacentral:rRNA from 1 species